AUGUGCCCCGGGGCGCCGGUCGCGGCGGCGGCGUCGGACAAGAGCGUGUGCGUGAUGGACGCGUCCGGCCCGCUGGGCCAGGCGCUCGUGCACCGCCUCCUCCGCCGGGGCUACACCGUCCACGCCACCACCUACGGCCGCUCGCUCGACGCGCUCGCGCUGCUCGCCGCCGCCGGCCACGACGAGGACCGGCUCAAGCUCUUCCGCGCCGACCCCUUCGACUACCACUCCAUCGCCGACGCCGUCCGCGGCUGCUCCGGCCUCUUCUGCAUGUUCAACACCCACGAGGACCAGGCCGGCUGCGACGAGGUGAUGGUGGAGGUGGAGGUCCGGGCGGCGCAGAACGUGCUGGAGGCGUGCGCGCAGACGGUGACCAUGGAGCGGGUGGUCUUCACCUCCUCCGUCACCGCCGUCGUCUGGAAGGACGACGACCACAAGCCCGUCGACGCCUUCGACGAGCGGAACUGGAGCGACCUCAACCUCUGCAGGAAGCGCAAGUUGUGGCAUGCGCUGGCCAAGACGCUGUCGGAGAAGACGGCCUGGGCCUUGGCCAUGGACAGAGGGGUGGACAUGGUGGCCAUCAACGCCGGCCUGCUCACCGGGCCGGGGCUCUCCUCCGCCCACCCCUGCCUCAAGGGGGUCCCCGAGAUGUACGAGCACGGCGUCCUCGUCACCGUCGACGCCGACUUCCUCGCCGACGCCCACGUGGCCGCCUACGAGUGCCCCACGGCCUUCGGCCGCUACCUCUGCUUCAACAACGUCGUGUGCCGGCCCGAGGACGCCCUCCAGUUCGCCCAGAUGCUCACCCCGUCCGCUCCAUGCUACCCGCCGAGUGAUGAGCUGAAGGUGAUCCCACAAAGGAUUCAGAACAAGAAGCUGAACAACCUGAUGGUGGAGUUUGCCAGUGCCAUAUACGGGGACUUGGAUUAG
rnacentral:rRNA from 1 species